CCUACGGGAGGCAGCAGUGAGGAAUAUUGGUCAAUGGGCGCGAGCCUGAACCAGCCAAGUCGCGUGAGGGAAGACGGUCCUAUGGAUUGUAAACCUCUUUUGUCGGGGAGCAAAAGACGCCACGCGUGGCGUUCCGAGAGUACCCGAAGACAAAGCACCGGCUAACUCCGUGCCAGCAGCCGCGGUAAUACGGGGGAUGCGAGCGUGAUCCGGAUUUAUUGGGUUUAAAGGGUGAGCAGGCGGAAGAUCAAGUCAGCGGUAAAAUUGAGAGGCACAACCUCUUCGUGCCGGUGAACCUGGUUUUAUUGAGUGAGCGAGAAGUAGGCGGAAUGCGUGGUGGAGUGGUGAAAUGAAUAGAUAUCACGCAGAACUCCGAUUGCGAAGGCAGCAUACCGGCGCUCAACUGACGCUCAUGCACGAAAGUGUGGGUAUCGAACAGGAUUAGAUACCCGAGUAGUC
rnacentral:rRNA from 1 species